rnacentral:rRNA from 1 species
CGCGUAGGCGGCUUGGCAAGUCAGAUGUGAAAUCCCCGAGCUUAACUCGGGAAUUGCAUCUGAAACUGCUUUGCUUGAGUCCUGGAGGGGGUAGUGGAAUUCCCAGUGUAGCGGUGAAAUGCGUAGAUAUUGGGAGGAACACCGGCGGCGAAGGCGGCUACCUGGACAGUGACUGACGCUGAGGCGUGAAAGCUAGGGGAGCGAACGGGAUUAGAUACCCCGGUAGUCCUAGCCGUAAACGAUGGGCACUUGGUGUUGGGGGUAUUGAGUCCCCCGGUGCCGGAGUUAACACGUUAAGUGCCCCGCCUGGGGAGUACGGUCGCAAGACUGAA